UUGCACUAAAUGUGAAUGGGGAGCAGGCGUGCUAAGACAAUUGAGCGUCAUUUUGACAGAUUUUUGGUUCAAUUUGAUUAAUAAUGGCCUCGAAGUUGACAUUAUUGGAGGUGACUCAAAUAUCACAUUUAGUGGAGCAAUCCUUGGAAAAGCUGCAUCCAGCAUUUUAUUGACAUACAGUUGUUUAGAAAUGCAAAAGGACACUUCAAAAGUUUCAGAUAUCUGCAAACUUUUUGGACAAUGCAUAUCUCCCUGUUUGGUACAGAAGUCCAAGGUCCCCAGGUUGAACAGAGAGCUCAG